AUUGAACGCUGGCGGCAGGCCUAACACAUGCGAGUCGAGCGGAGCGGCGGACGGGUGAGUAAUGCCUAGGAAUCUGCCUGGUAGUGGGGGAUAACGUCCGGAAACGGGCGCUAAUACCGCAUACUAUCAGAUGAGCCUAGUUGUGAUUAGCUAGUUGGUGGGGUAAAGGCCUACCAAGGCGACGAUGCGUAACUGGUCUGAGAGGAUGAUCAGUAACACUGGAACUGAGACACGGUCCAGACUCCUACGGGAGGCAGCAGUCGGGAAUCUUGGACAAUGGGCGAAAGCCUGAUCCAGCCAUGCGGCGUGUGUGAAGAAGGUCUUCGGAUUGGAAAGCACUUUAAGUUGGGAGGCGUUACCAACAGAAUAAGCACCGGCUAACUUCGUGCCAGCAGCCGCGGUAAUAC
rnacentral:rRNA from 1 species